rnacentral:rRNA from 1 species
CCUACGGGGGGCUGCAGUGGGGAAUAUUGGACAAUGGGCGAAAGCCUGAUCCAGCCAUGCCGCGUGUGUGAAGAAGGCCUUCGGGUUGUAAAGCACUUUCAGUGGGGAAGAAAGCCUUGGGGCUAAUACCCUCGAGGAAGGACAUCACCCACAGAAGAAGCACCGGCUAACUCCGUGCCAGCAGCCGCGGUAAUACGGAGGGUGCGAGCGUUAAUCGGAAUUACUGGGCGUAAAGCGCGUGUAGGCGGUCUGAUAAGCCGGUUGUGAAAGCCCCGGGCUCAACCUGGGAACGGCAUCCGGAACUGUCAGGCUAGAGUGCAGGAGAGGAAGGUAGAAUUCCCGGUGUAGCGGUGAAAUGCGUAGAGAUCGGGAGGAAUACCAGUGGCGAAGGCGGCCUUCUGGACUGACACUGACGCUGAGGUGCGAAAGCGUGGGUAGCAAACAGGAUUAGAUACCCCAGUAGUC